CAAUUUCUCAGAACUUCACUCACAUAUACUAUUAUUUGUAAUUUUUCCUUUUCAAUACUAUUAAUGAUGUUUUAUUAUCAAGUUCGAGGAGCCCCUCCUUUAAUUUUCAAUUUUAUCUUCUUCUUAAUUUUAAUUUAUCUUUUUUUCCAACCAUAUAAUAAAUACUCUUUGAUGUUAUUUUUUUUAAAUUAUAUUUUAUAUAGAGGUCAAUUUUCUAUCCUACUCACCCUUUCUCACACGUACAAACCUUCUUUUUUUCUCACAGACCCACAAGUCACAAACUCACUGAUUUUUCGAGAUACAGACCACCCACCUGCAUAA